rnacentral:rRNA from 1 species
AACAGGAUUAGAUACCCUGGUAGUCCACGCCGUAAACGAUGUCGACUUGGAGGUUGUGCCCUUGAGGCGUGGCUUCCGGAGCUAACGCGUUAAGUCGACCGCCUGGGGAGUACGGCCGCAAGGUUAAAACUCAAAUGAAUUGACGGGGGCCCGCACAAGCGGUGGAGCAUGUGGUUUAAUUCGAUGCAACGCGAAGAACCUUACCUGGCCUUGACAUCCAGAGAACUUAGCAGAGAUGCUUUGGUGCCUUCGGGAACUCUGAGACAGGUGCUGCAUGGCUGUCGUCAGCUCGUGUUGUGAAAUGUUGGGUUAAGUCCCGCAACGAGCGCAACCCUUAUCCUUUGUUGCCAGCGGUUCGGCCGGGAACUCAAAGGAGACUGCCAGUGAUAAACUGGAGGAAGGUGGGGAUGACGUCAAGUCAUCAUGGCCCUUACGAGUAGGGCUACACACGUGCUACAAUGGCGCAUACAAAGAGAAGCGACCUCGCGAGAGCAAGCGGACCUCAUAAAGUGCGUCGUAGUCCGGAUCGGAGUCUGCAACUCGACUCCGUGAAGUCGGAAUCGCUAGUAAUCGUAGAUCAGAAUGCUACGGUGAAUACGUUCCCGGGCCUUGUACACACCGCCCGUCACACCAUGGGAGUGGGUUGCAAAAGAAGUAGGUAGCUUAACCUUCGGGAGGGCGCUUACCACUUCGUGAUUCAUGACUGGGGUGAAGUCGUAACAAGGUAACC